AAGGUCUUAUCUUAAUUAAAGUAUCUGAGUUGCAUUCAGAUUAUGCAAGAUAAAGUCUUGUAGGCCUUA
rnacentral:tRNA from 1 species